AGGACUGGCAGUAGCUUCUGCUCAGAGUCAAAUUCCAGGCUGUUGGGGUCAGUUCGAAUAAUGAAGGGAGCUUCAGUCUGAAGCCAUGGGAGAAUGCUCUGAACAUCUCACGUGAAAAUUUUUUGCCUGUUUUACACCACCCCUCUAGGAAUACUACUCCAAGAAAACAAAAGGGAUGCCAGGAAUGGACUAUUAACUUUUUCGUGUUGGGCCCCUUCUGGUCUGCUAAUCAUGGAAGGCAUGCA